rnacentral:lncRNA from 1 species
UUUUCAUUUGCAGGGACCCUUAGGAGCUUGAAAUUCUGAUGGAGCUUCUCCCUGCCCCCCCCCAUGAUUACAAAAGGAAAUUAAUUUGAUUAUAGAAAUUUUAUGAAACACAGAAAAGUAUACAACAGUGGUUCUCAAAAGCAGCAAGAGCAUUUUUAGAAGAGGUUAUAAAAAUUCCUAAGGGCCCUUUCAGGGAACAUAGUGAUGGAGCAUGUUCUAGAUGCAUUUAUUGGAAGGGAUCAGAUAUGCCAGAUGCUAGAUUUCGAAAGAUGUCUCACAUCCAGCAGUUGUCCUGAGCUUGCUUGACUCUUGACUGUCUCCCAGGACAGUCUAAGAUGAAAACCUGUCUAGUAUCUGAGUCUCAAACCUUACUUGAUUUUAUGUACACACUCAAUUGGUAGGGAGCAGUUCUGAGAAUUCAAACACCAUGUAAAUUGAGGAGCAACUGCUGAGUUUUGCUCAUCCUGAUAGUAAUGCCAUUUAUAUUAUGAUGACUUAACAGAUUUUACAGGUCUGCAUUUUUCCUCAUGAGAAUCUUAAGAUGUAUCCAAACCUCUUACUGCUUUGUUAUGCCUCCUAAUGUUGUUGGAACAAGAAUUAACACAUUGGAAAGUACAUAUUUAGGGGCUGAAGGUGUGUCUCAGUGGUAGAGAGUGCAUGAGACUCUGAGUUCAAUCCCCAGCAUCCAAGUACACACACACACACAUACACACACAUACACAGUUUGUUAUAAAUUUCUUCACGUUUAUUUCUUCUCACUAUGUUAUUUUUCAUGAUUUUAACUAAGUUUGGUAUAAGUGAAUUUCAUUUCAGGAUAGUAAAUGUGAAGGGUAUUAAAAAUAUUUGUUGUAAAAAGGGAAUCAUUUUUUCUAUGAAGAAUAAGAAAAAACUUUCAUAACCAUACUAUUCAGAAAAAAAAUAUUGCUAGCAUUGUGG